rnacentral:rRNA from 1 species
UACGGAGGGGGCUAGCGUUGUUCGGAAUUACUGGGCGUAAAGGGUGCGUAGGCGGCGCGGUAAGUCGGGUGUGAAAUCUCGGAGCUUAACUCCGAAACUGCAUUCGAUACUGCCGUGCUUGAGGACUGGAGAGGAGACUGGAAUUCAUGGGUGUAGCAGUGAAAUGCGUAGAGAUCAUGAGGAAGACCAGUGGCGAAGGCGGGUCUCUGGACAGUUCCUGACACUGAGACACGAAGGCCAGGGGAGCAAACGGG